rnacentral:rRNA from 1 species
GUUCCUACGGGGGGCAGCAGUGGGGAAUAUUGCACAAUGGGGGGAACCCUGAUGCAGCGACGCCGCGUGAAGGAAGAAGUAUUUCGGUAUGUAAACUUCUAUCAGCAGGGAAGAAAAAGGACGGUACCUGACUAAGAAGCCCCGGCUAACUACGUGCCAGCAGCCGCGGUAAUACGUAGGGGGCAAGCGUUAUCCGGAUUUACUGGGUGUAAAGGGAGCGUAGACGGCGAUGCAAGUCUGAAGUGAAAGCCCGGGGCUCAACCCCGGGACUGCUUUGGAAACUGUAUGGCUGGAGUGCUGGAGAG